rnacentral:rRNA from 1 species
UUGUGAGGUUAAGCGACUAAGCGUACACGGUGGAUGCCCUGGCAGUCAGAGGCGAUGAAGGACGUGCUAAUCUGCGAUAAGCGUCGGUGAGGUGAUAUGAACCGUUAUAACCGGCGAUUUCCGAAUGGGGAAACCCAGUGUGUUUCGACACACUAUCAUUAACUGAAUCCAUAGGUUAAUGAGGCGAACCGGGGGAACUGAAACAUCUAAGUACCCCGAGGAAAAGAAAUCAACCGAGAUUCCCCCAGUAGCGGCGAGCGAACGGGGAGGAGCCCAGAGCCUGAAUCAGUGUGUGUGUUAGUGGAAGCGUCUGGAAAGGCGCGCGAUACAGGGUGACAGCCCCGUACACAAAAAUGCACAUAUUGUGAGCUCGAUGAGUAGGGCGGGACACGUGGUAUCCUGUCUGAAUAUGGGGGGACCAUCCUCCAAGGCUAAAUACUCCUGACUGACCGAUAGUGAACCAGUACCGUGAGGGAAAGGCGAAAAGAACCCCGGCGAGGGGAGUGAAAAAGAACCUGAAACCGUGUACGUACAAGCAGUGGGAGCCUCUUAAUGGGGUGACUGCGUACCUUUUGUAUAAUGGGUCAGCGACUUAUAUUCUGUAGCAAGGUUAACCGAAUAGGGGAGCCGAAGGGAAACCGAGUCUUAACUGGGCGUUAAGUUGCAGGGUAUAGACCCGAAACCCGGUGAUCUAGCCAUGGGCAGGUUGAAGGUUGGGUAACACUAACUGGAGGACCGAACCGACUAAUGUUGAAAAAUUAGCGGAUGACUUGUGGCUGGGGGUGAAAGGCCAAUCAAACCGGGAGAUAGCUGGUUCUCCCCGAAAGCUAUUUAGGUAGCGCCUCGUGAAUUCAUCUCCGGGGGUAGAGCACUGUUUCGGCAAGGGGGUCAUCCCGACUUACCAACCCGAUGCAAACUGCGAAUACCGGAGAAUGUUAUCACGGGAGACACACGGCGGGUGCUAACGUCCGUCGUGAAGAGGGAAACAACCCAGACCGCCAGCUAAGGUCCCAAAGUCAUGGUUAAGUGGGAAACGAUGUGGGAAGGCCCAGACAGCCAGGAUGUUGGCUUAGAAGCAGCCAUCAUUUAAAGAAAGCGUAAUAGCUCACUGGUCGAGUCGGCCUGCGCGGAAGAUGUAACGGGGCUAAACCAUGCACCGAAGCUGCGGCAGCGACGCUUAUGCGUUGUUGGGUAGGGGAGCGUUCUGUAAGCCUGUGAAGGUGUGCUGUGAGGCAUGCUGGAGGUAUCAGAAGUGCGAAUGCUGACAUAAGUAACGAUAAAGCGGGUGAAAAGCCCGCUCGCCGGAAGACCAAGGGUUCCUGUCCAACGUUAAUCGGGGCAGGGUGAGUCGACCCCUAAGGCGAGGCCGAAAGGCGUAGUCGAUGGGAAACAGGUUAAUAUUCCUGUACUUGGUGUUACUGCGAAGGGGGGACGGAGAAGGCUAUGUUGGCCGGGCGACGGUUGUCCCGGUUUAAGCGUGUAGGCUGGUUUUCCAGGCAAAUCCGG